rnacentral:rRNA from 1 species
CCUACGGGAGGCAGCAGUGAGGAAUCUUGGUCAAUGGACGAGAGUCUGAACCAGCCAAGUAGCGUGAAGGAUGACUGCCCUAUGGGUGGUAAACUUCUUUUAUAAAGGAAUAAAACGAGGCACGUGUGCCUUUUUGCAUGUACUUUAUGUAUAAGGAUCGGCUAACUACGUGCCAGCAGCCGCGGUAAUACGGAGGAUCCGAGCGUUAUCCGGAUUUAUGGGGUUUAAAGGGAGCGUAGAUGGGUUGUUAAGUCAGUUGUGAAAGUUUGCGGCUCAACCGUAAAAUUGCAAUUGAUACUGGAAGUCUUGAGUACAGUUGAGGUAGGCGGAAUUCGUGGUGUAGCGGUGAAAUGCUUAGAGAUAACGAAGAACCCCGAUUGCGAAGGCAGCUUACUAAACUGUGACUGACAUUGAUGCUCGAAAGUGUGGGUAUCAAACAGGAUUAGAUACCCUAGUAGUC